UGACCGGACCUGGCACUGCGCCUACCGCGAACCUGGUCAGACCUUGACGGGAGCAGCCAUAAGCAGUCGGGCGCAGGUGUCAGUUCAUCCGGUCAUUU
rnacentral:SRP_RNA from 1 species